ACAAUAUGCUAUUAGGUUGGUGCAAAAGUAAUUGUGGUUUUUGCUACUAAAAUAAUGGCAAAAACAACAAUUUCUUUUGCACCAACCUAUACAAA
ensembl:miRNA